GGUGGUUGUAGCUCAGCUGGUUAGAGCGCUGGUUUGUGGUACCAGAGGUCGCCGGUUCGAAACCGGUCUUCCACCC
rnacentral:tRNA from 2 species